UACGUAGGGUGCGAGCGUUGUCCGGAAUUACUGGGCGUAAAGAGCUCGUAGGUGGUUUGUCGCGUUGUUCGUGAAAACCGGGGGCUUAACCCUCGGCGUGCGGGCGAUACGGGCAGACUUGAGUACUGCAGGGGAGACUGGAAUUCCUGGUGUAGCGGUGGAAUGCGCAGAUAUCAGGAGGAACACCGGUGGCGAAGGCGAGUCUCUGGGCAGUAACUGACGCUGAGGAGCGAAAGCGUGGGGAGCGAACAGG
rnacentral:rRNA from 1 species